rnacentral:rRNA from 1 species
CGAAGUUGGAAUUGCUAGUAAUCGUGGAUCAGCAUGCCACGGUGAAUACGUUCCCGGGUCUUGUACACACCGCCCGUCACACCAUGGGAGUCGGUAACACCCGAAGUCAGUAGUCUAACCGCAAGGAGGACGCUGCCGAAGGUGGGAUUGACGACUGGGGUGAAGUCGUAACAAGGUAUC